rnacentral:rRNA from 1 species
GACGAACGCUGGCGGCGUGCUUAACACAUGCAAGUCGAACGCUGAAGCCCAGCUUGCUGGGUGGAUGAGUGGCGAACGGGUGAGUAACACGUGAGUAACCUGCCCCGAACUCUGGGAUAAGCGCUGGAAACGGCGUCUAAUACUGGAUAUGUCCUAUCACCGCAUGGUGUGUAGGUGGAAAGAAUUUUGGUUCGGGAUGGACUCGCGGCCUAUCAGCUAGAUGGUGAGGUAAUGGCUCACCAUGGCGACGACGGGUAGCCGGCCUGAGAGGGUGACCGGCCACACUGGGACUGAGACACGGCCCAGACUCCUACGGGAGGCAGCAGUGGGGAAUAUUGCACAAUGGGCGCAAGCCUGAUGCAGCAACGCCGCGUGAGGGAUGACGGCCUUCGGGUUGUAAACCUCUUUUAGUAGGGAAGAAGCGCAAGUGACGGUACCUGCAGAAAAAGCACCGGCUAACUACGUGCCAGCCGCCGCCGUAAAAC